AGUGAACGCUGGCGGUAGGCCUAACACAUGCAAGUCGAACGGCAGCACAGUAAGAGCUUGCUCUUACGGGUGGCGAGUGGCGGACGGGUGAGGAAUACAUCGGAAUCUACUUUUUCGUGGGGGAUAACGUAGGGAAACUUACGCUAAUACCGCAUACGACCUACGGGUGAAAGCAGGGGAUCUUCGGACCUUGCGCGAUUGAAUGAGCCGAUGUCGGAUUAGCUAGUUGGCGGGGUAAAGGCCCACCAAGGCGACGAUCCGUAGCUGGUCUGAGAGGAUGAUCAGCCACACUGGAACUGAGACACGGUCCAGACUCCUACGGGAGGCAGCAGUGGGGAAUAUUGGACAAUGGGCGCAAGCCUGAUCCAGCCAUACCGCGUGGGUGAAGAAGGCCUUCGGGUUGUAAAGACCUUUUGUUGGGAAAGAAAAGCAGCAGGUUAAUACCCCGCUGUUCCGACGGUACCCAAAGAAUAAGCACCGGCUAACUUCGUG
rnacentral:rRNA from 1 species